rnacentral:lncRNA from 1 species
AAGCAAUGUCUUACGAAGUGACCAUGGCCGAAAGGACACAUACUUUUAACAAUCUAUUGCAUCUAUUUUCAACAAUUAAUCAAUGAAAUAACUCAAGUGUACUGUUGUUUUGAUUUAAUUUGUAACAUCUGUACUAUUUUAUAGACAAAGAUACAGUUACUCUUUUUUUUUUUUUAGGUAAACUGGAAUUACACCAGGGCAAAGCCAGAGUACAACAGGAAAACCCACACAGAGGACUAACAUAGCUAAAACCAUUGAAACGACAAACAACAGAAUGAUCCAGGGCCAAGGACCAACACUAGUUCCGACAUUAUGUCACCCUUAAUCAUUCCAACAUAGACUCAACUUAGUGUGGGCAAGGUAGACCAUCCUUGUUCAACUUCUUGUCUCCUUCCCAACAUCUGUACUAUUUUAUACCAACAUGAUUCUCUCCAGAUUCUUUUGGUGAGAAUCUUGUCUGUUCAUCAUAAAUCGUGCGAUCAGUUUUUGUCAACUACUGUUCGUGUUUUAUUUUAAAUAAAAAUAUUUAAAAUAAUUUUUGACCGCACGAUGUACGAUGAACAGACAGGAUAACGGAUUUCCAAGAUUCUCACAAAGAGAAUCCGACGAGUAUCCGGAAUCUAUUUUAUAGACAAAGAUACAGUUACAAACAGUCCUUGUCUCCUUCCCCAAAUCAUUCUUCGUUUUUGUAUAGCUAUAUUUGACACACACACAUAAUAAACCACACAGUACGCUAAACUUGAAUAUAGACAAGCAGUAAUUUCAUCUUCUAUUUUUCUUGUUAGCCAAUAGCCAUCUGCAGACCUAGCUACUCUCUGAAUCCAAGUUCGGAUCUCCUCUCAUAGUUUUUACAACAUUAUAUUAAAAUAACGCCCGAAUAAAAUAAAUUAAACAAUUACACGACAGAGAAAUUUAAGAAGUAAACAAAUAGGAACAAUGUAUGAAAGUUUUAAGUACCUAUGAGAAAGAUUGAAGUUUCCCAAUUUGUAGGGAGUGAGGAGAGGAAUUGUGGGAGGUUGAGCAGCAGCAGACAUCUCAGAAUUCGAGUCGGUCGUCUACCACCUGAUCUUGCACUUGGCGUUUUAUACUGGAUUCUGGGAUGAAGGAAGGAAGGAAUGAAUGAAAACAGGACCCAAUUGGGUCUUUUAUACGUUCGGUAGGAGCUUAAAAGUCCGCCCUGCAGCUUUCCUCCACAAAAGUCAGAGAAGGCCGGGUCCCACAUCUCCCCUCCCUUGUGUGGUGGUGGCGGCGGCGGACGUCGGUGGGUGGAUGAUGGAUCUCUCCAAAGCAUUAAUUAAAUCGAUUAGGUGAAGAGAGGUAGGAAGGUUUGAUGAGGUCUGUAAUUACGUUUACGUGGGUUGAAAAUAAACCAGUUUUAUGAGGUCUGUAAUUACGUUUGCGUGGGUUGAAAGUUCACCAGUUUUCCCCAUGAAAAAGGACGUCUACGCACGUUCAUUUCGAUUUUGCUUUUUCAUCCUGCAUUAUUAGGCCAUGGUUAGAAAAAAUAUAUUAUAAUUUUGUAAAAAAAUUAAUUUUAAAUUAAUAGUGUCAGAUCAUAUUUAUAUACUAUCGCUAACCAAAUGAGCUAAACAUAGCCUCAUCAAUUUCCGAUGGAUAGCUAGACUAAAAUUCUAUGGAGCUCAUCAAGCCAUCAUUUGGCUAAAGGGGCAUUGGGCUGGCCAAAUGUAGCCCCCCUUCUUAGCCCUUUUUGGAGCCCAGCUCCUCUACUGCACUAUUUGAGUCAAAUUCAAUAACUAUGUUUGAAAACAUUUAAUGGAAGUUUAAUUAAAUUAAUCAAUAAAUUUAAUAUAUAAACUUAAAACUAAGUAAUUAUUGAGAGGGUUAUGUUUAGCCACUUCAGUGACGGUAUAAGUAUGAUGCGAUAUUGUUCAGUCAUUUCGGUUAAUGAUGGCCUACGGUUAGAAUUUUGAGGAUAUGUGAGACUAAAUGCAUGUUAGUUACAAAAUUAUGUUUGUUUAGAUCACUUGAAAUAUUUGACAACUUAAUAAAGAAAAACCAACUUAAAAUCCAUGAAUUAGAAAACUCAUUUUCUUUUUUGGUUUUAUUAAGUUGUCAAAUAUUUAAGCUUUUGAAUACAAACUAAUAUAAUCUUGUGGCUAAUAUACAUUUGGUCCUCACAAAUCUUUAAAAUGAAGACCUUACUUGAUCAAUGAAUUUAUGACAAAUUAAAUAGUCUAAAAAUAAAAGGCUCGAAUUAGGGCUAGGUUCAGUUCAAAUCAGUUCAAUUUUUUUUUCAGUUUGGGUUUUUUUUGGUUCCAAUUCGGUUUUUUUCGUGAUUUUUUUUAAAUCUUUUUUUUUUUGUCAAAAAUAUAAAGAAGAGUAAUUUUACUUUUUUUUUUUUCCGAUGAACUAAGAAAUUAAAGAAGGAACUUGAAUUAAAACUAGGGCAACUCGCAAUGAUGGCUGCAUCAACAAAUCAUCCAUAUCUACAAUACGAACAGAAACCUUUGUAAAUCAUAAAGUCCUUAAUGCUGAAUCCUUUAAGAACCAAGACUUGAAAACCCUAAAUCUGCAAUACAAACCCACAAGUAACAAACAAACCCACAACACAAAAAUCGACCAAAUCUGCAAUACAAACCAAACUCCCUCCAUGGCGCCAUGUCGCUGCCUCCGUUUUCCGGCCAAACCAAGGCGAUUUAACAUAAAAAAAAAAGGUACCAUUCUCUUCGUCUCAUCUAGAAGUAUGAUUUUUGUUUUUGAAUCACUUGAUUUCGUUGAGUAUUCAAGAAGUUAUGAACGUUUAAAGUUUACUCAGUUUCUGGCGAGUUUUCAAGUUUUCUAUCUUAUUCUACACUUUCCUAUCUUCAUUUUGAUAUUUUAUGGGUCGAAUUUGGUUAAGAAACGAUUGAGUUAUAAAGCUUUGAAAAUUGCCCAAGAACUCCGGGACACUUAACGGAGUUUUUAACGGAAUGACCAAAAUGAUGGAUGGUGGACAAUCUCAAGGACCACUUUUAUCGAUUUGAAAUGUUAGGGACCAAGGUGAUGAGUUAUGCAAAUCUCAGGGACUAUUUUGACUAUUUAGCCUUUUUUUUUUCAUAAACGAAAAUAAUUUUUUUUAAUGAAGAUAGAAAAGUGUAGAAUAAGAUUAUACCUAUUUGGAAGCCCAAUGGCUGCCGGAGAUAGCCGGAAAAUAGCCUCAAAGUUGACUGGUCCGAGGGAAAAUUGGAAAACUCGCCGGAAACUGGGUAAACUUUAAACGUUCAACUUCUUCAAUACUCAACUAAAUCAAGUGAUUCAAAAACAAAAAUCAUACUUCUCGAUGAGACGAAGAGAAUGGUACCUUUUAAGACGGUUAAAUCGCGGUGGUUUGGCCAUAAAAAGGCUCAAAAGUGUCUAACUCGAGACCAAGACAGCCACUUUGGAACCGUUUUCCGGGCAAACCACGGUGAUUUAGCCGUCAAAAUAGGUACCAUUCUCUUAUUAUCGUUGAGAAGUAUGAUUUUAGUUUUGAAUAACUUGAUUUCGUUGAGUAUUGAAGAAGUUAUGAACAUUUAAAGUUUACUCAGUUUUUGGCGAGUUUUCCAGUUUUCCUUCGGACCAGUCAACUUUGAGGCUAUUUUCUUGCUAUCUCCGGCAGCCAUUGGGCCUCCAAAUAGGUAUAAUCUUAUUCUACACUUUCCUAUCUUCAUUUUGAUAUAUUAUGGGUCGAAUUUGGUUAAGAAACGUUUGAGUUAUGAAGCUUUAAAAAUUGUCCAAAUUUCCAGCCAAGAACUCCAGGACACUUAACGGAGUUUUUAACUAAAUGACCAAAAUGAUGGAUGGUGGACAAUCUCAAGGACUAAUUUUAUCGAUUUGAAAUGUUAGGGACCAAAGUGAUGAGUUAUGCAAAUCUUAGGGACCAUUUUGGCUAUUUAGCCCAAAAAAAAUUGCAAACUUUAAAUGAUAAUAGAACAAAGUAAUACUAAUUUAUAAUAAAGAAGUCAGGUUGUUAAUAGAUGAAUUUGAUUGAAUUUUUAUUGUGUUAGGAAGUGUUAGGAGGAGGAUACAAUUAUCUUACUAGACUACGACACUUGUACAUCAUUAGCAUCGCAAGUACUCAUUUUCCAAAUGUGCAUUACAUUUGAUUUUAAAAAUUUGGUAUUCCUACCAUUAUCCUGAAAACAUAUAUAUUCACAUAUAAACUUUGUUCUUAUUGUGAGGAAACUCCAAAUGUUGAAGCCAUAUUCUUUAAUUGGUCUAUGAUUGAGGAGUGACCGUUGAAAUGUGUAGACUUCAAAAGGAUGUCUAACCUAAUAAUAGUGGUAAUUGUGGUUGAAUCUGAAAUAUUUGACUGCAAAUUCACCGGUUCUUUAGACCUUUCUGAUUCUCUUCGUUAUCUUUACUGGCAUGAUAUCCACUGAAAUCUUUACCGUAAAAUUUUACUCUAGAAAAUCUGGUUGAGCUUCAUAUGCCCGUAUGCAAUUUUAACAUUGAUUGUAUCAACAAGAAAGAUGUAAGACAAUGAAAGCUACAAUGAGGGAUUAUCCAUUCUAUAUAUGAAAAUCAAUCUUAAAAUGGAUGUUAAAAAAUUGAAAGCUACAAUGAGGGAUUAUCCAUUCUAGUCCUUCUCCAAAUGAUAGGAUUGUGAGGGAUAAGUUUGUUUCAUUCCAAUCCCCUUUGAAUUUUAAGAGUUACCUAUUACUUUAGUCUAAAGUAGGGGGAGGUGGCAUUGUGCAAUUUUGGGGUACAUUUCAGUUUACUUACGAAAUUGCCAUUGAGUCUCUCUGUUCCCUCAUUUAACGUUAUUUGCAAAAUUGCCAUUGGGCUUCAGAAAGGGUUUUGGGUCUUUGGGCUGGAAUUUCCGUCCAGAUUGGAAUUUUCGAUUAUUCGAUCCACGCGUUGAUCAUCGCUGGAUCGCCAGCUGUGUGGUAUUUGGUGAGGGGAUGGGUUACGUGUCCAUCAUUGUCGGAAGGUUUCCUUCGACUGCAACUUCUCGACUUUUCGUUCUGUUUCAACUUCUCUCUCACAAGCCUCUGCUUCAGUCGCUCUUGAUCUUCGCCUUUUCUAAGGCGUUUGAGGGACAAAAACCGAAAGCCAAACCACCACCACAAACGAAGUCACAAAUAGGGAUGGGCAACGGUUAUGGCGGACGGGUAACCGCGAUUAUUUACCCAUAACCAUUUAUACUUAUAUCCGCAUAAUUGUUUACCCGUUGGGUAAUUGCCCAAACAGUUAUACCCAUACUCAUAACCAUUUAUAAACGGUUAACCAUACCCAUAACAGCAUACCCAUUUAACCAUAACCGUUUAAUACCAGUUUACUCAUUUACUCUUUUUAACCUGUUUAAUUUUUAUUUAUUUUUUAUCAUUACCUCUUUUUUCACCCUUCUACAUGUUUUUUAACAACUUGAAAAUUAAAAAAAAAAUGUCAUAAUUUUUUUUUGGCAAUUAAACACCGUUAUAAGCACAUUCAUCUUACAUUUCCGUAUUAAAAUUUUUUAAAUCCUUAUCUCAUUCUAAUAAUUGAAAUAAUUUCCGGCAAAGACACAACGGUGUGCACUCGUACGUGGAUUAUUUAUAUGCUCAGCAAGCACCCUUAUAUGCAAGAAAAGGUUGUAACGGAAGUUUGAGAAGCAGCAAAUCUGAAAGAUGACUCAAGCAUUGUUGAACUUGCAGACAAUCUUAAUGAAGAUGCCCUUAAUAAAAUGCAGUAUGUCUUAGUAGCUUUGACUGAGACACAAAGGCUCUACCCUGUAAUUCCACUGGAAAUUUGACUAACAUCUUAACUAAAUCUAAUGCAUGCAUACUGCAAGGGAAAUGAUUUCAGUGCGCUCCCAUUUAUUUUUCUCACUUAAAUUUCUUUUGAUUUAUUCAAUUUAAGAAUAGAAAUACUCCAUGGAUCAUCGUUUAUUACUUUUUAAUUAAUUAAAACACUGCUAUAUAAACCACAUUAUAGUCAAUAGUAUUGAUCUAAGUUUUGUUUGAUAGAGAACAUGAUUUGUGUUAAUUUUAUAUAUAUAAAAUAAAUAGAUAAACGGUUACUCAUUUAUAACCAUGAUUAAUACUCAUAAUCAACUAUUUAUAUUUUACGGAUGAACGAUUAUACCUAUAACCGUUUAUUUAUUUAAACGGUUACCCAAAUGAUCGUGUAACCGCGGAUCAUCCCUAGUUACGAACGCCACUCUCACUCACCCUCCACCGUUACACACGCACCCAAUCAUAAUUCUGAAAUCCAAACACAACCCAGAUGUUAAUCCUUCAGAGAAUGGCAAUGGCCACUUCUUCUUCCUUCCUCUUAAUCCCUCUCCUCAAUACUCUUCUUUGCUUUCCCCAGUUAAACACCAAGCUCCGAGUUCAGGUCUCUGUCCUUGUACGGCGGUAGAACUGGAGACUCCACCUCCUCGGCGAUGGCCACAGAGGCUCAGGUCUCGACCCAAGACGACAAAUUGAAGGAUGCCCAGAUGGAGGUAGCUGAUAAACCUGAGACAGUCGUGCUUCCAACCAACGAGUCCUCCGAAAGCCUCAUCAUAAUUCGACACACGGUAUUUAUUGAAAUUUCAUUGCUUUGGAUUGGAUUUAUGAUUGUUUUAUGUUAAAUUGAAGUAGGGUGCUUUCCUGUUGAAUUUUUUGAAUUUUUAGAUUCUUAGGAGCUUCCCCUUUUUGAAAGUUUGAUGCUUUUAAUUAACUAUUUUCAAUUCUGCGUUACUAAUUGUCACCUGAUUCUAUUGUGAAGAAUGAGGAAGUGAGGAUGAAGAAAAUAAGAACCUAACUUUUCGGUAAUUUGAAAUUUGAUCGAAUAGGACAUGGAAAAAUGGGUGUACAUCAGUAGAUAAGCUGGGAAAAUUUUCAAGACUUGGAUUGUCUGCCCUCUAAUUUUGGUGCCCUCCCAGUGCCCUCUUGUUUUUGUGGUCAUGGUUAAGCCACAUCAACAUUUUAUAGUACUAUUUCUUUUUGUUUUAUUAUUUUUAUAAAAAAAUGAUAUAAAAUAUUGACGUGGCUUAACCGUGACCACACAAAACAGGAGGGCACCGAAAUGGGAGGGCAGACAAUCCAAGUCCAAAUUUUCAUCCUGUUUUUGGGAAUGUGAGAAGAUACAUGGGUUUCUGUAUUUUGAUAAAGUGUUGAGGUCGAGCUAUGUUCAUUUUUUUCUAAAUUUCCAUGUAGUUUGGUAUUAAUGGCGUCUUUUCCGCUGUUAUGGUGAUGAACUAUUUAUGUGUUUGACUGCAGUGUGCACACGUGAUGGCCCUGGCUGUUCAAAAGCUCUUCCCGGAUGCAAAAGUGACAAUUGGUCAGUGGAUAGAAAAUGGGUUCUAUUAUGAUUUUGAUAUGGAGCCUUUGACAGACAAAGAGUUGAAGAGAAUCAAGAAGGAGAUGGUAAGUGGAAUUUCUUUAUAAGUUAUCAUGUUUGUAUCAAAGUUUUGGAACCAUGAAACUAUUGAAAACUAUUCAUGAUCAUUUCUUUUGUGAUUUGUAGGAUCUCAUCAUUGGUAGAAACUUACCACUCAUAAGAGAAGAAGUUUCAAGAUAUGCUCACAAAAGAAUAACUGCGCUCAACGAAGCAUACAAAUUGGAAAUUUUGGAUAGUAUUAAAGAAGAUCCCAUUACCAUAUAUCAUAUUGGUAAGGGUUUCACUAUUUUCAGGCUCAAUAUAGUUUGGAAGGUGAUGAUUUAAUGUGCAGGAACUGUGCGUAAAUGAUAUUUUUAUUAGCUACACAAGUGAAAUGUACAGUGUUUGUGUCGAGUCUUAAGAUGGAAAUUUAAGGGAAUAAAAAAGAGAGGGCGGGGGUGUGCUCAGGGAAAACAAUGUUGUUGGUGCUCUUUAAAAAUGAGUUAUUGAUAUGCAAAUUGAAAAGGAGACUAAUUUGAAGGUGGGAGGAACCUUUUGGUCAAGCUAACCAAUUAUACUUAUGUUUAUACAUAUGCAUGCUUGUACUGGGAUUUGAUUGUGUUUUGAACUAGCAUCCUGUCAUAUUAGACUGUCUUUAUGUCAUAAUUCCUCAUAGUAUGCCGAAUUCUUCUUAUGUGAUGAAUGGUAGGAAGCAUGUGCAGGGCCCCAUGUUGAAAAAACUGGAAAUAUUAACGGAAAAGCUGUCGAACUUGAGUCUAUUGCUGGUGCUUGCUGGAGAGGAGAUGAAAAAAACCAAUGCUGCAGAGGAUCUAUGGCACUGCAUGGGAGAGUGAAGAUCAAUUGAAGGCAUAUCUUCAUUUCAAAGAGGAAGCUAAACGUCGAGAUCACAGGGGCUUUGAUCAAGUUCUUGACCUGUUUUCUAUACAGGUACUCAGAAUUGCCCUGAAUCUCUUUCUGCUGCUUACGCAGAUUUAUCAGUUAGCAAUCCCAUUAUUUGUAAUUAUGAGGAUUCUUGCAUUAACUCUGCCUGUGUAAGUUUAUCUUACAUUGCCGGUCCCAAGUCCGGGUAAAGGAGGAGGGGGAGGGCGUCAGGUAGUCGACAGCCGGCACUCCACAGUUACGUCGAAUCCUUAUGAAAAUGAAUCCAGAACGAAAUCGCGCUAAAGCUAGGGCGUCACCCGUAAGUGGCGCGCUGUGUGGCCCGAGCACAGUGAUAAGUGAGCAAGGGUCGCUGUAUCUCCAUCGGCACCCGGAUGCAGUGUUAAAUGAGCAAGGGGGCCAUAGAAACUUCUUUUCGAACGACUCCACUCAAAGUUGUUUGGGAGCAUAUACUCCUAUCAACUUUACACAGGACACACAAAAGAAGUACUUUGAUCCUAUUGGACGGGGGAGGGUGAAGAAGCUAGGACAAAAGGGUAGAGUUCAAGAGAGUAGAAUGCGUUUAGGAACGUGGAAUAUAGAAACCUUAACGGGAAAAUCUAUAGAAGUAGUGGAAGUUAUGGUGAGGAGAAGGAUAAAUAUUAUGUGCCUACAAGAAACUAAGUGGGUUGGUCUUAAGGCAAAGGAUCUAGAAAACUUAGGGUUUAAACUUUGGUAUUCGGGCACAAGUAGAACGAGAAACGGUGUUGGCAUCAUCUGUGGACAAGACCUUGACACAAGAUGUUGUAGAUGUCAAGAGGGUAGGAGAUAGAAUCAUGGCAAUCAAGAUUGUAAUAGGACAAGAACUCAUCAAUGUCAUUAGUGCGUACGCACCUCAAGUAGGGUUGGAUACGAGUUCGAAGGAGAAAUUUUGGGAAUACCUUGGAGACUUGGUGCUGGGAAUACCUUGGAGACUUGGUGCAAGGAAUUGCCCAGACGGAGAAGUUAUUUAUAGAGGAGAUUUAAAUGGACACGUGGGCAGGGAGACAGGCAACUAUAGAGGUUUUCAUGGUGGCCAUGGUUUUGGGGAGAGAAACGAGGAUGGGGAAGCUAUCUUGGAUUUUGCAAUGGCAUAUGAUCUCUUCUUAGCCAACACAUUCUUUAAGAAGAGAGAAGAACAUGUGAUCACCUACAAGAGUGGGUUGUCAAAAACACAAAUAGAUUUUCUUCUAAUGAGGAUAUGAGAUCGUAUAACUUGUAAGGAUUGCAAAGUUAUACCGGGAGAGAGCUUGGCUAAUUAACAUCGCUUGUUGGUGAUGGAUGUACAUAUCAAAAGAGUGAGAAAAAAGAACAAGACUUGGAAGUGCCCAAGGCCUAGAUGGUGGAAUCUAAAAGGAGAAAAACAAGCCAUUUUCAAAGAGAAAGUAAUCACCCAGUGUGGGUGGGAUAGAGAGGGGGAAGCUAGCUAAAUGUGGGAUUCCAUGGCUAGUUGUAUCCGAAAAGUAGCAAAAGAGGUAUUAGGAGAGUCCAAGGGCUUUGCCCCACACCAAAAGGAAUCUUGGUGGUGGAAUGAGGAGGUACAAACAAAGGUGAAGGCUAAGAAGGAAUGUUGUAAAGCCUUAUACAAGGACAGGACCGAUGAAAAUAGUGAAAGGUAUAGAAGAGCGAAGCAAGAGGCUAAGAAAGCUGUGAGAGAAGCUAAGUUAGCGGCUUAUGACGACAUGUAUAAGCGACUAGAUACCAAAGAAGGAGAGUUGGAUAUCUAUAAACUAGCUAGAGCAAGGGAAAAGAAGAUAAGGGACCUAAACCAAGUGAGGUGCAUCAAGGAUGAGGAUGGAAAGGUUCUUGCUACAGAGAAUGCGGUCAAAGACAGAUGGAGAGGUUAUUUUCAUAAUCUUUUCAAUGAAGGACAUGAAAGGAGUACUUCUUUAGGGGAGUUGAGUAAUUCAGAAGAGUGUAGAAACUACUCAUUUUAUCGUCGAAUCAGGAAGGAAAAAGUGGUUGUAGCUUUGAAGAAAAUGAAGCAUAGAAAAACAGUGGGCCCAGAUGAUAUAUCGAUCGAAGUGUGGAAAGUCUUGGGAGAGACAAGUAUAGCAUGGCUCACUGACCUUUUCAAUAGGAUUUUGAAAACGAAGAAGAUGCCAACUGAGUGGUGAAAGAGCACUUUGGUGCCUAUAUACAAGAAUAAGGGCGACGUACAAAAUUGCAUGAAUUAUAGGGGUAUUAAGCUAAUGAGCCAUACAAUGAAGCUCUGGGAGAGAGUCAUUGAGCAUAGAUUGAGGUAAGAGACACGGGUUUCGGACAACCAAUUCGGGUUCAUGCCAGGGCGCUCAACCAUGGAGGCAAUCUAUCUCUUACGAAGAUUGAUGGAAAGAUAUAGAGAUGGGAAAAAGGAUUUACACAUGGUCUUUAUAGAUUUGGAAAAAGCUUAUGAUAGGGUCCCAAGAGACAUUCUUUGGAGGAUUUUAGAGAAGGAAGAAGUACGAGCAGCAUAUAUCCAAGCUAUAAAGGAUAUGUAUGAAGGAGCAAAGACUGCCGUAAGAACUCAUGAAUGACAAACCGAAAGCUUCUCCAUAACUGUAGGAUUACAUCAAGGCUCAUCCUUAAGUCCUUACCUUUUUGCGUUGGUAAUGGAUGAGUUAACAGGACAUAUUCAAGAUGAUAUUCCUUGGUGUAUGCUUUCCGCAGAUGAUAUAGUGUUGAUAGAUGAAACUCAGGAAGGGGUAAAUGCGAAGCUUAACCUUUGGAGAGAAAUGUUGGAAUCUAAAGGUCUUCGCCUAAGCCGAUCAAAGAAAGAAUAUAUGGAGUGCAAGUUCAGUGCAAAUGGAGGCCAAAAUGAGUUAGGGGUGAGGAUCGGAGAUCAGGAAAUACCAAAGAGCGAUCGUUUUCGCUACUUAGGAUCUAUCUUGCAAAAGAACGGAGAAUUAGAUGGAGAUCUCAACCAUAGAAUACAAGCUGGAUGGAUGAAGUGGAAGAGUGCAUCCGGCGUGUUGUGUGACCGUCGUAUGCCACUGAAGCUCAAGGAAAAAUUUUAUAGGACAACAAUAAGGUCGGCGAUGCUGUAUGGCACAGAAUGUUGGGCGGUGAAGCAUCAACACGUACACAAAAUGGGUGUAGCGGAGAUGAGGAUGCUUCGUUGGAUGUGUGGGCACACGAGAAAUGAUAAGAUUAGGAAUGAGGAUAUCCGAGGUAAAGUAGGAGUAGCCGAAAUUGUACGAAAAUUGAGAGAAAAUUGGUUACAGUGGUUUGGACAUGUGCAAAGAAGGCCUACUGACGCUCCGGUUAGAAUAUGCGACUACAGGACAGAGGUUUAGGGCCGAAGGGGUAGAGGAAGACCUAGGAAAACUUUGGAAGAGACUCUAAGAAAAGACUUAGAGUAUUUGGAUCUAACGGAGGACAUGACACAGGACUGAGCACAAUGGCAUUCUAAGAUUCAUAUAGCCGACCCCACUCAGUGAAGAAGGCUUUGGUGUAUUUAACACAAUACGUUGAAAUGAAGCAAAACUUAUUUAUUGAUAUCUCCGAUAAGUUACAAAUAUGUACAUAUACAUGAGUCAAAAUAAACAAACAAGAGGGAGCCUUCACAAAGGUUGCUUAGGAGAAGUCUCAGCAGUUGGUAGAGCCCCAGAAAGAGAAGGCACCGGAGGGGUAUCAUUCGAAGCCUCAGUACUGGACAGAACCCUAGAAGGAGGAGGCAUCGAAGGUUGAUCAUUUGGAGCUUCAGUACGCGGUACAGCCCCAGAAGACGAAGGCAAUAAAUGCCUUUGGAACAAACCCACAAACCGCUGAUGAUCAAGUAAAACCUGACCAUCAGAUUCCUUCAUCUGGUCAAGCUUCCUCUUCAUGUUUGUAGCAUAGUCAUGUGCGAGCCGGUGCAACUGUUUAUUCUCAUGCUUGAGCCCUCUAAUCUCUUAUUUGAAACUCAUCACUUCAGCCGCCAAUGAUUCAACUUGGCAGGUUCGAGCAAAUAGGCGCUGGGCCAUAUUAGACACAGAACCUGCACACUGAACACUUAGAGCCAGAUAAUCCUUAACAGCCAACUCAUCAGACCGUUUGCAAAGUAAUCUGUUAUAUUUGGGAGUGAGAAAGUUCCUGGCCACCACCGCAGCAGUCAUAUCAUUCUUCAUCACGGAAUCCCCAACGGUAAGCGGACCAGUAGGGGAUAAGAAAGAUGGACGCCAUAUGUUGUCUGGAGAAGGCGUGGCUGCCUCUUCAACGAGGUUCAAGUCAAAACGACGGUCGGAGGGGCCAGAAAUUUUCAAAGGUGUUGAAGAGAGAAGUGGUCGGACAAAUCAAGAUCUUAGAAGUGCAAGAAUGGAGCUUCUACUGGUGAAGAUUCAAGUGUGCUUUGGAACUUAAUGUCAGCCUCUAUAAAAAUCUGCACUCGACGGAGCUUCAGAAAUCGAAGAGGCGCCUGCCCAGAAAUCGAAGAGGCAUUUGCUUUCUCAAAAGUUGGGCUGCUCAAAGACCACGAGGGUCGAUCUCAGAAAUCGAAGAGGCGUUUGCUUUCUCAAAAGCUGGGCUGCUCAAAGACCACGAAGGCCGAUCUCAGAAAUCGAAGAGGCACUUGCUUUCUCAAAAGCUGGGUUGCUUAGAGACCACGAAGGCCGAUCUCAGAAAUCGAAGAGGCACCUGCUUUUUUCAGCCUUGUCAGCACCUGUCACAUGCACACUCAGCUUUGCUGAAAUUACGGGCAUUCUGUUGAAUAUUUCUGGUGAAGUAGAAAGCACGUGAAUCUUAUUGUUCAAUCAUCCACUUUCCACACGCACCAUCAGCUCAUGGGUACCAUAGAUAACUUUGCCAAAGAUCUCUGACAAAGUUUAGACACGUGAAGCUUGCAGCUCCCACUACAUCGCUAUGAUCAAGAAGGGUAAAAGAAUAGCAAAGAAACAGCACUAACAAAGUUUAGAUACAUAAAUUUUGAAGGUCUAGCUACCAUAUUAUUACCUACAAGGGUAAAGGAACAGCACCGCUGCUGGAUAAUCGGAAAGUCCUUGUAUGUCAACCUAUGUGCUCUGUGGCAAGGUAGACUAGCAAACAUGCCCAAACUUUACUUACAUUCGAGAAAACACUCCCAACAAGAUUGCUUGCUCCAAAAUCGAAGAGGCACCGUCCUCUGAAUCUCGAGAGCCAGACUCCCAACAUGAUUACUUUCUCAAAAUUGAAGAGACACCGCUCUCCGAAUCUCGAGAGCUAGACUCCCAGCAGGAUUGCUCUCUCAAAAAUCGAAGAGGCACCGUUUUCCGAAUCUCGAGAGCCAGAUCUCCGACAAGAUUACUUGUACGAAAACCGAAAAGGCACCGCUUUCUCAACUUCAAGAGCCAGAUCUCCUUGGAUAAAGCUUGUCUGUAAUCUUCACACGCAACAUCAGCUUUCCAGAUACCACAGACCACUUUUUCAAAGUGCUCUGACACACGUGAAGCUAGCAACUCCCACUACCGUGCUAUGACCAAGCAGGGUAAAGGAAUAGUAUUACUACUUGUUGUUAGGGAAACUCCUAUAUAUGUCGACCUCCAUCCUCAACGGACAGGCAGACCUGCAAAAAUGCUCAACACUUCCUCAUAUCCGAGAGGGCACUCCCAACGAAGCCUCUCGAAAUACUCAGCUUUCUUUCCCCCCGAUAAUACCUCUGCAAACAAGCUACACCAGAGCAAGAAUAUCUCAUAUCAUCAGGGUUAAAAGCAAGAGUAUCCCAUAUCAUGCUUUUUCCCUGUCUUUUCCUUUGGCCUUGUUCUUACCUGCAAGACAAGGAGAAAGAGAGCAAUCAGUCAGCACUUGGAAUCAAGCUUCCAGUCAGGAACUGACUGCCUGGAACCCCUUACCUGAUUACUUACCUGGCAUUGCUCUCGAGUACCCAUCUUCAAAAUCUUAUGCUUCCAGAGAAGAUACCACAUCUGCCUGAGGAACAGAUAGGGAAAGUGAGAAGGAUACAAGGAAGCAUGUGGAGACAAACGUAACAGAACACGUGCCGAUACAUCCACUACUUUGUCAACAGCAAAAGUAUCUCAUAUCAGCAGGGUCGAACGUACUCUAGAUUUGAUGGACGUGUUUUGACCCUCAAAUUCUUCAGUCGGCCUUAUACUCUGGAAGAAACCAGAAAAUCCUCCAGCCCAGUUCAAGAAUAAGCCUGUGUAAAGUUACUUAUUCAAAAGCAAAAGUAUCUCAUAUCAUCUAUUCUCCUUUUCUUCUCUUUAUCCUUCAUGCUGCCUGCAAGAUAGGGAGAAUGAGAACAAUCAGCCGGAACUCGAAAUCAAACUUCUGAUCUGGGACUAAUUGCUUGGAGCUCUGAUUGCUUACCUUGUCUGUCACCUUUUUCAGCAUAUCCCCUAGCUCGGUGACUUGGGGGACUCCUACUACAUGGUUUGUAUCGCGCUUGACCAAGCCUGAAACUACAAGUAAGCUUCAAGUGAAUUUGAUACAUUACCUUGUGCAUCUCCACCAGUUAAAGAUACCACCCCUUGAUGGAGGAAGCGUACUUCCAGAGAAGAUGCCACAUCUACCUAUGAGACAGUUAAGGCAAGUGAAGACGAGAGCAUGCACCUAUGUGAUUUGUACUAAAUCAUUCACUUGUACUCACUAAAGGAGAGCUUGAACCUAUGUACUUGCGUAAACUCUUCACAAUUAAUGAGAACUCCUCUACUCCGUGGACGUAGCCAAUCUGGGCGAACCACGUACAUCUUGUGUUUGCUUUCUUGUCUCUAUCCAUUUACAUACUUAUCCACAUUAAUGACCAGAGCAAUCUAGCGAAGAUCACAAACUUAAUACUCUCUGUUGUACCAAAGUCCUCACUGAUUUUGUGCAUCAACAAUCCUUAAGUCUUUACAUUUUUGCGUUGGUAAUGGAUGAGUUAAUAGGACAUAUUCAAGAUGAUAUUCCUUGGUGUAUGCUUUUCGCAGAUGAUAUAGUGUUGAUAGAUGAAACUCAUACGGGGUAAAUGCGAAACUUAACUUUUGGAGAGAAGUGUUGGAAUCUAAAGGUCUUCGCCUAAGCCGAUCAAAGACAGAAUAUAUGAAGUGCAUGUUCAUUACAAAUGGAGGCCAAAAUGAGUUAUGGGUGAGGAUCGGAGAUCAGGAAAUACCAAAGAGCGACCGUUUUCGCUACCUAGGAUCUAUAUUGCAAAAGAAUGGAGAAUUAGAUGGAGAUCUCAACCAUAGAAUACAAGCUGGAUGGAUGAAGUGGAAUAGUGCUUCUGGCGUGUUGUGUAACCGUCGUAGGCCACUAAAGCUCAAGGAAAAAUUUUAUAGGACGGUAAUAAGGCCGACGAUGCUGUAUGGCACAGAAUGUUGGGCAGUGAAGCAUCAACACGUACACAAAAUGGGUUUAGACAUGUACAAAGAAGGCCUACUGACGCUCCGGUUCGAAGAUGGGACUACGAGAUAGAGGUUCAGGGCCGAAGGGGUAGAGGUAAACCUAGGAAAACUUUGGAAGAGACCCUAAGAAAAGACUUAGAGUACUUUGAUCUAACGGAGGAUAUGACACAAAAUUGCGCACAAUGGCGUUCUAGGAUUCAUAUAGCCGACCUCACUUAGUGGGAAAAGGCUUUGUUGUUGUUGUUGUAUGAGGAUUCUUGCAUUGAACAUUUUCAUUGUUGAAUUUUCACAGAAUGAUGCUGGUGGUGGUUUAGUGUUCUGGCAUCCAAAGGGUGCUAUUGUGAGGCAUGUAAUGGAAGAUUUGUGGAAAAAGAUUCACAUAGAACGUGGUUACAAUCUGCUUAUACUCCACAUGUUGCAAAGGCGAACCUUUGGCAGAUAAGUGGUCAUCUGGAUUACUACAAGGAGAAUAUGUAUGAUCAAAUGAAUGUUGAGGAUGAACUUUAUCAGCUUCGACCGAUGAACUGCCCCUAUCAUAUCUUGGUUUACAGAAAGAAGCCUUACUCAUAUCAUGAAUUUCCUAUUCAAGUUGUUGAGUUGGGAACCGUUUAUAGAUACGAAUUAUCUGGAAGCUUGCAUGGUCUUUUUCGUGUAAGAGGUUUUACUCAGGUACAGUGUUAGUAUUUGCAAACUAUUAGUCUAUAAUCCUUGGUGUAUGAAGUGUUUUUUUUUUUUUUAACCUCAGGACUUGUUGCAGGAUGAUGCCCACAUAUUUUUUCAAGAAGAUCAGAUCAAAGAUGAAAUUAAGGGUGUCCUAGAUCUUACCGAAUAACUUUUGUUGCAAUUCGGCUUCAGCAAAUAUGAGGUCAAUCUCUCUUCGAGGCCAGAGAAAGCUGUUGGAGAUGGUGAUAUAUGGGUGAAAGGCAACAUCUGCCCUUACUCCUUAGAGAUGCUUUGGAUGAUAAAGGUUGGAGCUAUCAAAUUGAUGAAGGUGGUGGUGCCUUUUAUGGUCCAAAGAUUGAUCUUAAGAUUGAGGAUGCCCUUGGAAGGAGGUGGCAGUGCUCAACUAUACAAGUUAAUCCUGAACUCAUGACGGGAUAAUUCUAAUGUACGCUUUGUUUUUUAAUUGGUAGUCUCUAUGUCUAUCUCCGUAUCACUUUGUAAAAUGUUCAUUGGAGAUUUGAGCAUCUUUUUUUAAUUGAGCGAAUUACAUGGAUUUGUUUGCUAGAGUAAAGCCACUUAUUAUUGUUAUUUUAAAUUGUUUGAUCUUUUGUACUUCCCAAAUUGUACAAGUUGAUUUUCCAUUAUGGCUUUCGCCAAUACAAGCUCAUGUUUUACCAGUUACUGACUCUCAGGUUUGUAAAGCAGUUGCACGUUUAAUGUUUCAAUUAACUCAAGGACCCUCAACACACCUGCACGACGGUUACCUGGGCUAUGACCCCUGACUCUCCUCCCAGUGAUUCGACUCCUUUGUCGACUCCGAGUCGCUCAAGGACUCCACCACCGAUUCCCCAAUCUUCCACGGCUCCACCAUAGACGACGCUUUCGAACGGCCAGGGCUUUGAUGGAGGGUUUGGCGGGUCCGACGAUCCCAUUUUGCCGGUUCCGUCUGAGAUACUGCCUGAGGAGGGCUUCGCUCUCAGAAAAUGGAGGAGGUAGGAUCUCGAAUUCUAAUUGUUUUCAAUUGAACCGAUAGUUCUGUAUAGCAAUUAAAUUUUGACUCUUUUGUGCAAUUUAGUUGAAAGUUGUUGGUUUUGAUUUGGCUUGAUCUUUCUGUUGAUGAGAAAUUAGGUGGAAAUUGUUGUUUUGAUUUCGAUAGUUUUCAAGAAUUGCAUGCUUAGUGAUCAGCAAUCGUCUGGCUUUAUCGGGUAAGGAGAUAAAGCAAUUAAAUUUCAAAAUUUGGAUUUACAGUUCGUAUUUUGAGCCUGAAUUCAUGAAAACAAACAUAACCCAUUAUUUAUUAGCGAUUAAUGAUCUGAUUAAUUUAGUUUUUAAUCAUAAUCAAUAGCAUGUAGCUUUAAUGGAAGUGGGGUUUGGGAAAUUGGCUAGCACCCAUUUUGCUUUUUGUUUGUCUGCUUUCCAUUUCUCCUCUCUCUUGCCAUCUUCUUUGUAUUUUGGCUACUUCUCUCUCCCGCACUCCCUUUUUAACUCUUGGUUCUGUGGUUCUCCGGCUGCCGUUAGGUUUUUGUGGUCGAACAACGAUGGAAUCCGAGGAUGAUGACUACUACAGCAACGACAAUGACUCCUAGAAAUUUUUAUUUUGAAUUCGGAAUUGGUUUGAUUGAAGCCCCCUAAUUGAUUGUAUUUAGGUUGGAUUUUUAUGCAUCAGGAAUUUCAAUUGAAGCCUCCUAAUUGGAUAAUGUUUUUCCCAUGUUAGGCUUCUCUGAUUGAGGUGAUACAGAUACCAAAUUGGAGCGGUGCUGUUAGUGGAGGAAUCUGGUAGAAACGAUGAGUUUGUAGAUUGAAUUUGUAUAUGAUGAUAAUAAAAAAUGAUAUGUUGUUUUCGUAAUUCUUUUUGCUUUCAAAGUUUAUUGCUUGGUUGUGUUCGUAACCUCUGGGUUCUUACGGUUCUUUGUCUCUCUUACUUCAGAUUCUUUGUGUUUUUUAUCAUUCGUUUGUGAAGAAAUGGGUCGUACGUAGUGGUAAGGCUCUGAGGAAGGCACUUGCCACCAAGGUGCGUUUCGUUUGGGUUUCUGAUGUCUAGAAAAUUAGAAUUGAUAAUUGCAAGCAAUUUUUUCCGAGAAACAAUCAGAUUAUUGAAUCUAAGUUGCUAAUUGUUUUAAUUUUGUAUAUGCUGCAAUUAAAUCAGCACCCGCAACUGAAGGUGUCAAGAAGCCUGACUGCUACCGCCUUGGAAUCGUCAUUUUUCGGUAAGUUUUCAACACAAUAUAGUUCAAAUCCUCUGAAUCAUGUUCUUGAAUUUUACUAUAUGUAUCGUGUUCUUUGCAUUUCGUUAUCUGAAAUUUGUUCUUUGAAUUUGGUUACCAGAAUCGUGCCUAAUGUUUGAUGUGGCCAGUGGCUUUGUAUGGUUGGCUGGUGUGAUUUGGGAGUGUUUUUAGUUAAUGGCAGACAUAGGACAAAGGUGUGGGGCAGCGAAGUCAAGUGGGAUUAGGAAUUUAGGAUAGUAGACUGUUUGCUAAUUUAUGGGAUUAGAAGUCUUCCUUUAUUUUUUCUCUUCAUGUAACAACAACAACAACAACAAAGCCUUUUCCCACUAAGUGGGGUCGGCUAUAUGAAUCCUAGAACGCCAUUACGCUCGGUUUUGCACAUGUCCAAACCCAUUUUGUGUACGUGUUGAUGCUUCACCACCCAACAUUCUGUGCCAUACAUCAUCGCCGGCCUUAUUGCCGUCCUAUAAAAUUUUCCCUUGAACUUCAGUGGCCUACGACGGUCACACAACACGCCGGAUGCACUCUUCCACUUCAUCCAUCCAGCUUGUCUUCUAUGGUUGAGAUCUCCAUCUAAUUCUCCGUUCUUUUGCAAGAUAGAUCCUAGGUAGCGAAAACGGUCGCUCUUUGGUAUUACAUGAUUUUCGAUCCUCGCCCCUAACUCAUUUUGGCCUCCAUUUGCACUGAGCUUGCACUCCAUAUAUUCUAUCUUUGAUCGACUUAGGCGAAGACCUUUAGAUUCCAACACUUGUCUCCAAAGGUUAAGCUUCGCAUUGACCCCUCAUGAGUUUCAUCUAUCAACACUAUAUCAUUUGCGAGAAGCAUACACCAAGGAAUAUCAUCUUGAAUAUGUCCGGUUAACUCAUCCAUUACCAACGUAAAAGGGUAAGGACUUAAGGAUUGUUGAUGCACAAAAUCAGUGAGGACUUUGGUACAACAGAAAGUAUUAAGUUAUUGCUCUGGUCAUUAGUGUGGAUAAGUAUGUAAAAGGAUAGAGAUAGGAAAGCAAACAUAAAAUGUACGUAGUUCACCCAGAAAGUAACUUUCCACAGGCUUAUUCUUGAACUGGGCUGGAGGGAUUUCUGGUUUCCUCCAGAGUAUAAGGCCGAUUGAAGAAUUUGAGGGUCAAAACAAGUCCAUCAAAUCUAGAGUACGUUCGACCCUGCUGAUAUGAGAUACUUUUGCUGUUGACAAAGUAGUGGAUGUAUCGGCACGCGUUCUGUUACGCUUGUCUCCAUAUGCUUCCUUGUAUCCUUCUCACUGUCCUUAUCGGUUCCUCAGGCAGAUGUGGUAUCUUCUCUGGAAGCAUAAGAUGUUGAAGAUGAGUACUCGAGAGCAGUGCCAGGUAAGUAAUCAGGUAAGGGUUCCAGGCAGUCAGUUCCUGACUGGAAGCUUGAUUCCAAGUGCUGACUGAUUGCUCUCUUUCUCCUUGUCUUUUGCAGGUAAGAACAAGGCCAAAGGAAAAGACAGGGAAAAAACAUGAUAUGGGAUACUCUUGCUUUUAACCCUGAUGAUAUGAGAUAUUCUUGCUUUGGUGUAGCUUGUUUGCAGAGGUAUUAUCGGAGGGAAAGAAAGCUGAGUAUUUCGAGAGACUUCUUUGGGAGUGCCCUCUCAGAUAUGAGGAAGGGUUGAGCAUUUUUGCAGGUCUGCCUGUCCGUUGAAGAUGAAGGUCGACAUAUAUAGGAGUCUCCCUAACAACAAGUAGUAAUGCUAUUCCUUUACCUUGCUUGGUCAUAGCACGGUAGUGGGAGCUGCCAGCUUCAUGUGUGUCAGAGCACUUUGAAAAAGUGGUAUGUGGUAUCUGGAAAGCUGAUGUUGCGUGUGAAGAUUAGACACAAGCUUUAUCCAAGGAGAUCUGGCUCUCGAAGUUGAGAAAGCGGUGCCUCUUCGGUUUUCAAACAAGCAAUCCUGCGGGGAUCUGGCUCUCAAUAUUCGGAGAACGGUGCCUCUUCGAUUUUUGAGAGAGCAAUCCUGCUGGGAGUCUGGCUCUCGAGAUUCGGAGAGCGAUGUCUCUUCGAUUUUGAGAAAUUAAUCAUGUUGGGAGUCUGGCUCUCAAGAUUCGGAGAACAGUGCCUCUUCAAUUUUAGAGCAAGCAAUCUUGUUGGGAGUGUUUUCUCGAAUGUGAGUAAAGGCAGGGCAUGUUUGCUAGUCUACCUUGCCACGGAGCACAGAGGUUGACACACAGGGACUUUCUAAUUAUCCAGCAGUGGUGCUGUUCCUUUACCCUUGUGGAUAAUAAUAUGAUAGCUAGACAUUCAAAAUUUAUGUGUCUAAACUUUGUUAGUGCUGUUUCUUUGCUAUUCUUUUACCCUUCUUGAUCAUAGCGAUGUAGUGGGAGCUGCAAGCUUCACGUGUUUAAACUUUGUCAAAGAUCUUUGACAAAGUUAUCUGUGGUACCCCUGAGCUGAUGGUGCGUGUGAAAAGUGGAUGAUUGAAUAGUAAGAUUCAUGUGCUUUUUACUUCACCAGAAAUCUUCAACAGAAUGCCCGUAAUUUCAGCAAAGCUGAGUGUGCAUGUGACAGGUGCUGACAAGGCUGAAAAAAGUAGGUGCCUCUUCGAUUUCUAAGAUCGACCCUCGUGGUCUCUAAGCAACCUAGCUUUUGAGAAAGCAAGCCUCUUCGAUUUCUAAGAUCGGUCUUCGCGGUCUUUUAGCAGCUCAGCUUUUAAGAAAGCAAACGCCUCUUCGAUUUCUGAGAUCGGCCCUCAUGGUCUCUGAGCAGCCUAGCUUUUGAGAAAGCAAACGCCUCUUCGAUUUCUGGGCAGACGCCUCUUCGAUUUUUUAAGCUCCGUCGAGUGCAGAUUUUUAUAGCGGCUGGCAUUAAGUUUCAAAGCACACUUGAAUCUUCACCAGGAGAAGCUCCCUUCUUGCACUUCUAAAAUCUUGAUUUGUCCGACCUCUUCUCUCUUCAACACCUUUGAAAAUGUCUGGCCCAUCCGACCGUCGUUUUGACUUGAACCUUGUUGAAGAGGCAGCCACGCCUUCUCUAGACAACAUAUGGCGCCCAUCCUUCUUAUCCCCUACUGGUCAUCUUACCGUUGGGGAUUCCGUGAUGAAGAAUGAUAUGACCGCUACGGUGGUGACCAUGAACCUUCUCACUCCCAAAGAUAACAGACUAUUUUCCAAACGGUCUAAUGAAUUGGCUGUUAAGGAUUCUCUGGCUCUGAGUAUUCAGUGUGCAGGUUCUGUGUCUAAUAUGGCCCAACGCCUAUUUGCUCUAACCCGCCAAGUUGAAUCAUUGGCAGCUGAAAUGAUGAGUCUCAAACAAGAAAUUAGAGGGCUCAAGCAUGAGAAUAAACAGUUGCACCGGCUCGCACAUAACUAUGCUAUAAACAUGAAGUGGAAGCUUAACCAGAUGAAGGAAUCUGAUGGUCAGGUUUUACUUGAUCAUCAGCGGUUUGUGGGUUUGUUCCAAAGGCAUUUAUUGCCUUCGUCUUCUGGGGCUGUACCGCAUAAUGAAGCUCCAAAUGAUCAACCUCCGAUGCCUCCUCCUUCUAGGGUUCUGUCCAAUACUGAGGCUCCUAAUGAUCCCCCUCCGAUGCCUUCUCUUUCUAGAGCUCUACCAACUGCUGAGACUUCUCCUAAGCAACCUUUAUGAAGGCUCCCUCUUGUUUGUUUAUUUUGACUCAUGUAUAUGUACAUAUUUGUAACUUAUCGGAGAUAUCAAUAACUAAGCUUUGCUUCAUUUCCAACGUAUUGUGUUAAAUACACCAAAGCCUUCUUCAUUGAGUGGAGUCCGCUAUAUGAAUCUUAGAACGCCAUUGUGCUCGGUCCUGUGUCAUGUCCUCCGUUAGAUCCAAAUACUCUAAGUCUUUUCUUAGAGACUCUUCCAAAGUUUUCCUAGGUCUUCCUCUACCCCUUCGGCCCUGAACCUCUGUCCCGUAGUAACAUCUUCUAACCGGAGCGUCAGUAGGCCUUUUUUGCACAUGUCCAAACCACCGUAACCGAUUUUCUCUCAACUUUCCUACAAUUUCGGCUACUCCUACUUUACCUCGGAUAUCCUCAUUCCUAAUCUUAUCCUUUCUCGUGUGCCCACACAUCCAACGAAGCAUCCUCAUCUCCGCUACACCCAUUUUGUGUACGUGUUAAUGCUUCACCGCCCAACAUUCUGUGCCAUACAGCAUCGCCGACCUUAUUGUCGUCCUAUAAAAUUUUCCCUUGAGCUUCAGUGGCAUACGGCGGUCACACAACACGCCGGAUGCACUCUUCCACUUCAUCCAUCUAGCUUGUAUUCUAUGGUUGAGAUCUCCAUCUAAUUCUCCGUUCUUUUGCAAGAUAGAUUCUAAGUAGCGAAAACGAUCGCUCUUUGGUAUUUCCUGAUCUCCGAUCCUCACCCCUAACUCAUUUUGGCCUCCAUUUGCACUAAACUUGCACUUCAUAUAUUCUGUCUUUGAUCGGCUUAGGCGAAGACCUUUAGAUUCCAACAGUUGUCUCCAAAGGUUAAGCUUCGCAUUUACCCCUUCCUGAGUUUCAUCUAUCAAUACUAUAUCGUCUGCGAAAAGCAUACACCAAGGAAUAUCAUCUUGAAUAUGUCAUGUUAACUCAUCCAUUACCAACGCAAAAAGGUAAGGACUUAAGGAUGAGCCUUGAUGUAAUCCUACAAUUAUGGAGAAGCUUUCGGUUUGUCAUUCAUGAGUUCUUACGGCAGUCUUUGCUCCUUCAUACAUAUCCUUUAUAGCUUGGAUAUAUGCUACUCGUACUCCUUCAUUCUCUAAAAUCCUCAAAAGAAUGUCUCUUGGGACCCUAUCAUAAGCUUUUUCCAAAUCUAUAAAGACCAUGUGUAAAUCCUUUUUCCCAUCUCUAUAUCUUUCCAUCAAUCUUCGUAAGAGAUAGAUUGCCUCCAUGGUUGAGCGCCCUGGCAUGAACCCGAAUUGGUUGUCCGAAACCCGUGUCACUUACCUCAAUCUAUGCUCAAUGACUCUCUCCCAAAGCUUCAUUGUAUGACUCAUUAGCUUAAUACCCCUAUAGUUCAUGCAAUUUUGUACGUUGCCCUUAUUCUUGUAGAUAGGCACCAAAGUGCUCUUUCGCCACUCAUUUGGCAUCUUCUUCGUUUUCAAAAUCCUAUUGAAAAGGUCAGUGAGCCAUGCUAUACCUGUCUCUCCCAAGACUUUCCACACUUCGAUCGGUAUAUUGUCUAGGCCCACUGCUUUAUAAUGCUUCAUCUUCUUCAAAGCUACAACCACUUCUUCUUUCCUGAUUCGACGAUAAAAUGAGUAGUUUCUACACUCUUCUGAGUUACUCAACUCCCCUAAAGAAGUACUCCUUUCAUGUCCUUCAUUAAAAAGAUUAUGAAAAUAACCUCUCCAUCUGUCUUUGACCGCGUUCUCUGUAGCAAGAACCUUUCCAUCCUCAUCCUUGAUGCACCUCACUUGGUUUAGGUCCCUUGUCUUCUUUUCCCUUGCUCUAGCUAGUUUAUAGAUAUCUAACUCUCCUUCUUUGGUAUCUAGUCGCUUAUACAUAUCGUCAUAAGCCGCUAACUUAGCUUCUCUCACAACUUUCUUCGCCUCUUGCUUCGCUCUUCUAUACCUUUCACCAUUUUCAUCGGUCAUGUCCUUGUAUAAGGCUUUACAACAUUCCUUCUUAGCCUUCACCUUUGUUUGUACCUCCUCAUUCCACCACCAAGAUUCCUUUUGGUAUGGAGCAAAGCCCUUAGACUCUCCUAAUACCUCUUUUGCUACUUUUCGGAUACAACUAGCCAUGGAAUCCCACCUUUGGCUAGCUUCCCCCUCUCUAUCCCACCCAUACUGGGUGAUUACUUUCUCUUUGAAAAUGACUUGUUUUUCUCCUUUUAGAUUCCACCAUCUAGUCCUUGGGCACUUCCAAGUCUUGUUCUUUUUUUCUCACUCUUUUGAUAUGUACAUCCAUCACCAACAAGCGAUGUUAAUUAGCCAAGCUCUCUCCCGGUAUAACUUUGCAAUCCUUACAAGUUAUACGAUCCCCUUUCCUCAUUAGAAGAAAAUCUAUUUGUGUUUUUGACGACCCACUCUUGUAAGUGAUCACAUGUUCUUCUCUCUUCUUAAAGAAGGUGUUGGCUAAGAAGAGAUCAUAUGCCAUUGCAAAAUCCAAGAUAGCUUCCCCAUCCUCGUUUCUCUCCCCAAAACCAUGGCCACCAUGAAAACCUCCAUAGUUGCCUGUCUCCCUGCCCACGUGUCCAUUUAAAUCUCCUUCUAUAAAUAACUUCUCCGUCUGGGCAAUUCCUUGCACCAAGUCUCCAAGGUCUUCCCAAAAUUUCUCCUUCGAACUCGUAUCAAACCCUACUUGAGGUGCAUACGCACUAAUCACAUUGAUGAGUUCUUGUCCUAUUACAAUCUUGAUUGCCAUGAUUCUAUCUCCUACCCUCUUGACAUUUACAACAUCUUGUGUCAAGGUCUUGUCCACGAUGAUGCCAACACCGUUUCUCGUUCUAUUUGUGCCCGAAUACCAAAGUUUAAACCCUGAGUUUUCUAGAUCCUUUGCCUUAAGACCAACCCACUUAGUUUCUUGUAGGAACAUAAUAUUUAUCCUUCUCUUCACCAUAACUUCCACUACUUCCUUAGAUUUUCCGGUUAAGGUUCCUAUAUUCCACGUUCCUAAAUGCAUUCUGCUAUCUUGAACUCUACCUUUCUGUCCUAGCUUCUUCACCCUCCCCCGUCCAAUAGAAUCAAAGUACUUCUUUUGUGUGUCCUGUGUAAAGUUGAUAGGAGCAUAUGCUCCCAAACAACUUUGAGUGGAGUCGUUCGAAAAGAAGUUUAUAUGGCCCCCUUGCUCAUUUAACACUGCAUCUAGGUGCUGAUGGAGAUACGGCAACCCUUGCUCACUUAUCACUAUGCUCGGGCCACACAACGCGCCAUUUACGGGUGACGCCCUAGCUUUAGCGCGAUUUCGUGCGAUGAAAAAAAAAAGGUGAGUAAUUUUAACUCUAGUUUGAGGUAAUAACAUGUGAAUUUUUCGUAUUACUGGUUUUUCCCUUUCUAUUAAAAACAACCUUUGAUUUCUUUGAUAGUGCGUUUUUCUAUCUGUGCUAUUGUUGAACUCCCCCAGUUAUCAGUUUUGACUCAAAAAAAAUAUUCGAUGAUAACAUGCAUUGAAUAUUGGCUAAAAUUAUAUUGAAAUUUGCUGGCCGAAGCAGAUAUCGUUAAAAGAGCUCUAAGUCACCCUCUGAAAUUAAUUGCCAAAAGUGAUGUUGUAAAUGGAAGAGUUGUUAGUGAGAAGGCAUUUUUUUUCGUUUCACUUUAUAGACUAUGCUCACUAUCUGUUUAAUAUGUUUCAUCGUAUUAAUUAAAGUCUCAUUUCUCAGGUGCUUUCAAGUGACAACCCCAACUAUGGAUGCAUGCUGCCACUGGAAACUAUGAAAAUUUCAUGGUUGCUGGGAUCACUGAUCCAACUAAAGUGGGUUUCUUUAUCAAGUACUUCAUGAAUAGAAUAUUUUGGAGAUCCUAUCGCUGGGACAGAUUGAAGAAGAUGAAGAUCACAAGGGUGGGAUACUGGGGAGGGUGGUAGGGUUAUGAGGAGUGGGCUCUGGUUGGUUUCGAUUUGACCAAUGUCAUGGUUCGAUGGAAUCGAGGUGAUGGGGAUGAUUCAUGAGGUCACAACCACAAGAUGUAGGGCCUACGCGUGGGGUUUAGGGGUUUCACAUAGAGGCUUACAGAGGGAGGGGGUGCACACGUGAAUUGCAGAGGGAGAGGGAGAAAGAGGGGGAGUAGGGUUGCUAUAUUCAAGUUCUCUUUUUUAUUUUUACUUGAAUUUGAUUUGAUUCUUUUUUUUUUUUGCGACAGGUUGAGAAUGCGAAAGCUCAGCUGGAGGUGGAGGUGAGAAUUUUAAUUUAAUUCAUGGUAUAUCUUUUUUUUUUUGUGGGAUUGUGCUGUUUUUGGGAAAACAAUAUUAAAUUGAAGUUUAGAUAUUUCUGUAAUUGGGAUUUAGAGUAAGAGAUGAAGAACUAUAUGUGAUUGCAAAUUUAAAAGUUUAGAACUUUUUUGGUUUGGAAGCUAAUUUUAAAUUCAGCUAGCUGAUUAAUUAAUAGAGAAAUUAUAACGAAUGUGUGAUACGUUUUUCAAUGCGUAUGAGCAGACAUGGGUACUGCUUCAGCGGCAGCAGCUGCUAUAUGAUGGUAGAUGAGGAAUUCUGAGAUGCUGAGUGCUCUUAGUGUCAGAGAUGAAGACUUGAUAAUGAUCGUUCCAAUUCUGCCUCAAGGUAUACUUGAUAAUGUUGUCCUUUAUGUGCAAUUCACUGUAUGAUGCUCGUUCCUUUAAUGAGCCUGUCAAUAUAUUUCAAUGCACCCACCAAUUGGUUUUAUCAUCAUACAUCAUUCGUGAGAAAUGGGAUGGUGAGUUUCUCAAUACAGUUUUAAUUUUUGUGCGAAUAAUGUUUGUAAAAAGUCUGUUUUUAUUUAGUUCAUUGCAGAUUCUUAUUCUUUUAUUUAGUUCACGAUUCAUGCUUUUAAAGAUAAGAAGUGCAAGGCUCUCUCGGAUGUUAGUUUUGGGUGGCAAUUGAAAGAUACGAGGACAAACAAAAAUACCUACCAAUUGAAAGGAUAAAUUCAAUUGAAAAUAUUUGGUUCAUCAAUUAUUAUAGUUUGAGCUUUCUGCAUUAAAUGUCCAGUUUUCGGGAAGAGUGAUUCAUGUAAUUGGGUUUUAUUAAAAUUUUCAUGAUUUUAUACAGUUUUUCGUUUAAAUUUGUGGAUUCAUAAACACUUUUAUGAGUGUUAAUUUCUGUUCGUAUGUCUAAAAUUUGUUUGGAAUUUGGCUGUUUCUUCAAUUUCAUCACCACCUAUUCUCACAACUUCAUUUAAAGUGUUUUGCAUGUAUAAGAUUCAUAUUCAUGGAGGUCAUUUCAAACGGAUUUCAAGCUGAGCUGCAGAAAUUUGAUUCAAAUUGGUGGAUUUGGGUAAGAAACUAAGAAACCAUUAUCUUUUGUUUCGGUUUUAAGAACUGAAUUUAAUGGUUAAGUUUAUGUUUCAAGAUUAUCUUCCUUUCUCCUAAAUACUGAGUUUUAUGAGAUUACAUUUGGCAAGUCUGAAAACGGAUUAGAAAUACAGAGUUUUAUGAGAUCUAUUUGGCAAGAUUAUCUUCCUUUGUCCUAAAUACUGAGUUUUAUGAGAUCUAUUUGGCAAGUCUGAAAGUGGAUUGCGUAUGUUUAUAUCUCCCUUUCUUCUAAAUACUGAGUUUUAUGAGAUCACACCAUCUUAUGUUUAUUGUAUAAUCUUAUGCAGUCAGAAGAAUUAUCAUCUUUUUCCUUUUAGAUUUCAACAUAUUUGGAAAUACUUCAAAUUUUUUGUAGUGUAGUUUGUACUUGUAGUUUACAUGAUUACGUAAGUUCUAUUUCUUUAGUAAAUUUUUAUGCAGGAAAGAAAGUCAUUUCUCAGUUUAUAGUUAACAUGAUUACAUAAGUUAUGCUUAUCUUAUCAACCUCAUUCACUCGUAUGUUGCUCUGUUCAUUCAUGAUUGUGUUAAAUUUAUUCAGGUUAAAAGUGUCUUAUUCAUGCAGUUACGCAUGAAACAGUUGUUCCCGCGGCAACACGUGGGCUUAUUUUCUAGUUCCAAUGUAAACCUAGAGACGAAACGAGGUCAUAUAUUACAAAGACAUAUUCUAAAACAGCCUUAGCUCAGAGAAUAAAAAAAGGAAAACUAAUGAAAAUGGCUUGAAAACUUUGAGUUUUAACGAUAUGGACAAAAUAAAGGGUAAAGUGAACAGUAUCAGGUUUGACUUUUUAGUGUAAAAAUGUGAUUUUUCGUUAAAGUAAACAGUACAGCAGACUUUUCGUUAAAACUCCCAAUAAAAAAAACCAUGCAGUGAAAACAUCUAAGGGAAACGAGUUGAUCCUCAAUAAACGCCUCAAUAGAAUGACAUCUUUGUUAAAGCAUCUGUUAUAAAAUUAGCUUCAUCUAAAACAUGAUAGAAGCUGAUAUGAUCAAGCAUACCAUGUUUGCCAACAUAAAAGAAGGAUCUUUCCAAGUUUAGGAAGGUGGGAGUUGCCAAAGAGAAACCGAUUUGAGCCGCAUUUUCUUCAAAUAUCUCAGGCAAACGGUCGGCUGACAAAAUGCAGUCAAUGGCUUCAACAUCUUGAGAAUAAAAGGCACAACUAGGAUCAAUUGGUUGUACUUCAUAUAGGGAUAAGACUUGAGUCUCGUCUUUCACAUAUGUUUACUUGUUCAUUCCGGCCAUUAUAUGGUACAACACUGAACAUAGAGUACAACUUUUCCGGCCUCUAAGUCCGGAACCCUCCCAAACAUUGGACACUACAAUACCAAAAUAAAGCAAUAAAAUACAACAGUACAAUACAAUAUAGUUAAAAGCAAUCCAUCUUAGUACAGACUCAAUCGGAUGAAUCAACGGAGCCCUAGUGUUCAAGCUUCCAUCCUUGCGGUAAACUUAAGUGGUGGCUUCAAGAAAUGGAUAAUCAGUGUAACCAAUGACGGGAUCAGUGUGUAAAAUGUCUCUCUGUUGUACUUGUUUAGAGGAGCAUUAAGUUCAAAUCUCUUUGGCAAAUCCGGAUUCGCCAAGAAAAUACGGCCAUAAGCAAUAAGAUCUGCACGGCCCUCGCCCACAGCUCUGUUUCCAUCUUCCCUGUGAUAACUGUAAAUCAUUGUGUAUGUUGAUGAAGAAAGAAUAUGCAGGAAGAAAGACAGAGAGAAAUGUAGAAGAAUAAGAGAGUAAGAGAGUUUAGAGAGUAGAGAGAGAAUCAAGAAUUGUAUUUUCUUUCUAGUUAGUUACAACUGACUAUUACAACAUGUAUUUAUUUGUAUUGGUAGCUUACACUCUAAGCCACACAAUAACCACCUUAACUAACUCUUAUAUCACAGCUAUAGAAUCUUAGUACACCUAUCAUCCCCCCUCAAGCUCAGGGGCAGAGAAAUUGAGCCUGAGAUUGGCACAAUGAGUCUGAAAGAGUGGUGUAGAAAGACCCUUGGUGAGGAUAUCUGCAAACUGCUCAGUAGACGAUACAAACUGAACAUGUAGUUGCUGUUUUGCAACCCUUUCUCGAACAAAAUGGACAUCAACCUCAAUAUGUUUCGUACGUUGAUGUUGAAUUGGAUUGCAAGUCAGUGCAAUUGCAGACAGGUUGUCACAGAAAAGUAAUGGGGGCUCGGCCAAAGGAAUCUGCAAGAACGACAACAGAGAUUUAAUCCAAUCCAAUUCAGCCGCUGUAGUAGAGAGAGCUCGAUAUUCAGCCUCAGUUGAUGAGCGAGAGACAGUGUGUUGUUUCUUAUACAUCCAUGAAAUGGGAUUAGACCCCAAGAACACCACCAUUCCAGUUGUGGACCGUCUAUCGUUCGGAUCACCCGCCCAGUCUGCAUCACUAUAGGCAGUAAGAUCAAGGGAACCUCGAAUAUACUGAAUACCACAGCCUCGAGUAGCCUUUAAGUACCUAAGAAUCCGUUUGACAGCCAUAAAGUGGGAGUCCAUUGGUCGCUGCAUAAACUGGCAGACCUGAUGCACUGCGAAAACAAUGUCAGGCCGCGUAAAAGUCAAGUACUGGAGAGCACCAACCAAGCUCCUGUACAUUGUAGGAUUAUUAUAAGGCUUGCCAUCAUUGCUGAGAAGACGGUUGUAAGGCAAACAUGGAGUAUCACACGGUUUGGACAAUAGCAUAUCAGAUUUAGUAAGCAGAUCCGUAACAUACUUGUCUUGAGAGAGAAACAAACCAUUCUUGUUCUGUACAAUUUGAAUGCCUAGAAAAUAAUGAAGAGGUCCCAAGUCUUUCAUAUCAAACUCAUGAGUAAGAGCUUGAAUAACCUCAGUGAUAGCUUGUGGAUGGCUGCCUGUGAUGAUAAUAUCAUCAACAUACAACAACAGAAUCACCACAUAUGUGUCAACAGUUUUUACAAAUAAAGAUGAAUCUGCAAAUGUAGACUUGAACCCUAAGGAAGGUAGAAAAGUAGUGAACCUUUCAUUCCACCUGUGGUGCCUGUUUCAACCCAUAAAGCGAUUUAUGUAAUCGACAAACAUAAUCUUCAUGUUUAAGAUCAACAAACCCAGGUGGCUGUGUCAUGUAGACCUCUUUCUUGUAAAUAUGCCAUGGAGGAAGGCAUUUUUCACAUCUAAUUGUCUCAAUGUCCAACCAAAGUUUGCUGAUAAAGCUAGAACGAUUCUCACUGUUGUAGGUUUAACAACAGGGCUAAAAGUCUCUCCAUAAUCGAUUCCUUCUUCUUGAUUAAAGCCUUUUGCCACCAGCCGUGCCUUAUACCUCCCAAUUGAGCCAUCAGCAUUCUUUUUUAUCUUAUAUACCCAUUUACACCCGAUUAAAUUCUUGUGACGGGGCAAUGGAACCAAUGACCAUGUUCCCUGAUUAUGCAAAGCCAAUAUCUCAUCUUGCAUAGCAUUAAACCAAACUGGGGAUUUCAACGCAGACUUAUAUGUUGCAGGUUCCACUUAUGUCAAAUCAACCCCCCCAUGUUCAUGAACCUGAGCAAGUAAAGCAAGCUUCUUAAUAAUACCACUUUUGGAUCGUGUCUGCAUAGGAUGGAAGUUCACUGGGGGAACAGAGAGAACCACUUGGAGCUGCUCAGGUUGGAAUUCAGGUACCACAGGAGGUGCAGGGGAGAAGGGUUGUGUAGUUGGAGAAGUAAUGGAAUGAGUAGCAGUUGAAUUUCCUGCACUGUCAGGUGAACCUGUAAUUGGAACCGUAGUGGAGGCUGCUGAAAGUUGCUGGAGUACCAGAUUUGGCAUGCCACUAGAGAUAGAAUCUGAGCUUAAUGAUGCAGGACACUCAGUGUAGGGAUUAAGUGACUCGUGUAACACAAGUACAUUACUAUGAUUAGGAACUGGAAUUGGUGUUUGAGAAUGUGAUGGAGGUGGUGAAAUAGUGGUACAGUGAGAUUUAGAGACCAAAGAACGAUAAGGAAACUCUGUCUCAUCAAAUAAAACAUGUCUAGAAAUAUACAUUUUGUUUUUAGAAGCAUCAUAACAAAGAUAGCCUUUAUAGUUAGAUGCAUAUCCCAAAAAGAUACAUUUUGCAGUGCGGGGAUCUAACUUGGUAUGAGUAUAAGGCCUUAACCAAGGAUAACAAGAACAGCCAAAUAUUUUCAAAUGUGUUAUUACUGGUAUGGAAUUGUGCAGCAAUUGAAACGGAGAUAAAUUUCCCAAGGAAGAAGAUGGCAUUCUAUUAAUGAGGUACACUGAGGUUUUGCAGGCAAAAGACCAAAACACUGAGGGUAAGGAAGCAGACUGUAGCAAAGCAAUGGAAAUUUCAAUAAUAUGCCUGUGUUUUUGUUUAGCUAUUCCAUUCUGUUCGGGUGUGUAAGGACAGGAAAGUUGGUGCUUAAUUCUUUUAUCAGACAAAAAUUGUUGAAAUGCUUUGUUUAUGUAUUCACCACCACCAUCACUGUGAAGAGUUUUAAUGGCUACUUGAAACUGAUUUAAGAUGAAAUUGUAUAAAGAAACAAAUAUACCCGAAACAUCACUUUUAUUGCACAUGGGAAAAAUCCAGCAAUAUUUUGUACAAUGGUCAAUGAAAGUGACAUAAUAUCUAAAUCCAUCUAGAGACACACAAGGAGCAGGACCCCACACAUCACUGUGAACAAGAUCAAAAGGUUUUACAGAUUUAUCUACGGAGGAAGGAAAUGGGAGUUUACUGAAUUUGCCCUCUAAACAUGGGUGACACAGUGAAGGUGUUUGAUCAGCAACACAAAGAACAUGUGAGGAUUCUAAAAUGCGGGAAACAAUUGAAUUAGAGGGAUGACCUAAUCUCUUAUGCCAAAUACUGGUAGUAACUUGUUGUCCCAGAAAAGCUGCAAGGUUCCUUUUGUGGAUGACUGCAGGAGAACUUGGUGAGAUGAUCGGAUACAAACCAUUGUUACACAGCCCUUUGUAAAGCACCCUCCCUGUGGCUUUGUCGUGAGAGAUAGCUAAACCUUCACCAUUUGCAGUCUGAAUAGUCUCAUUAGACGGAUAUGGAGUGGACAAGGAAAGAUUUCCCAAGUCUGAAGUCAUAUGAUUAUUUGCACCUGAAUCAGUAAGCGAAAUUUGCUGCUGUGGAGGAGGAGAUGGCACUGAGAAAGAAGGAUUAGGACCAUUGAGUGUUGCAGCAUGCAUAGCACUCAUUUGAGGAUUGGCAUUCUUUUGAAAACAUGUUUCUGCAGUAUGAUUGGAGUUCCCACAAAUAAAGCAGCCUGAGGGACCACUUGUAUUUCGAAAUCUACAGGUAUCAGCCAUAUGGUUGUGCUUCCCACAAAUUUGGCAACCUUGUGAAACAUUCAUGUUUCGAAAACGACAUGUAGAAGCCAAAUGAUUUGACUUCCCACAUAUUUGACAAAGUUAAGGCUGAAACCCAUAAAUCUGUGUUCUUGGCGGAGAAGCACCAAGAAUGCCAGGUGCAGGAUUUGAAGAGAAGUUCUUUUUAUUACCAUAUCUCGGAUUGAAUUAGAACCAAAACGAUUUCUGCCUUUACCAUUGUGAUUAAAAGACCUGUAUGCAUUUGUAUUGGAACUAGGAUAAUUUCCACCAGAACCUGAAAAAGACUGAUUCUUGGACACCAAGUCAUUGUUCUGUGCCAUUAGUGCAGACAAAACAGGUGAUGCAGAAAUGGUUUCAAUCAAUGCUUCUUCAGCCAACAAUUGAGAACGAAGAUCUUUCAACGAUAUCACAGUUUCACGACCCCGAAUCACAGAUCUUAUAGUAUUAAAUUCAGCAGGCAGACCAUUCAAUGUAAGAAUCACCAUAUCAUCAUCAUCAAAGAAAACACCAGCAGCAAAUAGUAAAUCCCGUGCUUCUUUAAUCUUCUGCAAAUACACAGUGAUAGAAUCAUUACCCUUCUUUAUAUUUUGCAGUUCAGAUUUGAGUUGAAAGAUACUGGUUCUUGUGAUAGUUGAGAACUGUUCUUUAAGCCUAGUCCACAAUUCUUUGGAACUGGUACUACCAAUCGCACAAGAAAUCCCAGCAGGGGACAAGGUUGCAGUGAUCAACUGCAUUAAUGCUUUAUCAUGCAUCUUCCAUACUCUGUAAUCAUCCGAUUGAACUUGGGUAGUAGAACCCCCAGAUAAUUCUUGGCAAAAUUGGUCAGGACAAGGAAUCGAGCCAUCAACAAACCCAAUUAUACUAUGGCCUUCAAGCAGGAGCUCCAUCUGAAAAUGCCAAGCCAAAUAAUUUGUUUCAUCCAACUUCACAUUAACUGAACUUGAAACCGACGAGAUCAAAGAAGCAAUCGGAGACUGAAGAAUAUGUAACUGAGUAGCAGUCACCAUUGUUACCAAUUAGGAGAAAAAUCCCAAGAAAUCUUGACAGAGGAAUAACCACAAACACUUGGUGGGUGUACUUUGAUCGAGAACGAAUCAAAGGAAGAAGAAGACUAAACCAGCCCAAAUUUUAACACAAGAAAUCACAGCAAGGAGAAGUAAUAGGGUAGAAGCGGAAGCAACCAUAACCAAGAUCGAAAUCCGUCAAGCUUUCAUGCUUGUUCCGGCGAUGAUACCAUGUAAACCAUUGUGUAUGUUGAUGAAGAAAGAAUAUGCAGGAAGAAAGGCAGAGAGAAAUGUAGAAGAAUAAGAGAGUAAGAAAGUUUAGAGAGUAGAGAGAGAAUCAAGAAUUGUAUUUUCUUUCUAGUUAGUUACAACUGACUAUUACAACAUGUAUUUAUUUGUAUUGGCAGCUUACACUCUAAGCCACACAAUAACCACCUUAACUAACUCUUAUAUCACAGCUAUAGAAUCUUAGUACACCUAUCAAUAACCACCACCAGCAAUGAAGGUACCAUGGAAAGCCUUUCUCAUGGGAAGAAGACUCUGGUGGGUUUCAGCUUUUUCUCCUAAUGUCUUCAUCCUCGGCUCAACCAUGUGGCAGUACACGAUUCCAUAUUUGUUCAAGGCAUUGGCCAUAUAGAGGCCUAAUUCUUUUGGAUUUGAAUCCCCUGAGUCCAUAUAGUCAGCAAAUGGAGAUAAUCUAAUUCCAACUUUAUCUGCUCCUAUUUCGUUAGCGACAGCUUCAACAACUUCCAGAGGAAGGCGGCAACGAUUCUCUAGAGAUCCACCAUAUUGGUCUGUUCGAUCAUUCACAUGAUCUUUCAGAAACUGAUCAAGAAGGUAGCCAUGCGCCCCAUGAAUUUCAACUCCAUCGAAGCCUAUAUAGCAGAUUAACAAUUUCAACAUACUGACGGUAUUAGAACCCUAAGCAUUGUCGCUGAAUUACCAAACAAAUAAUAUAAAGACAAACUACCGGCUUCAAUAGAAUUCCUUGCAUAAGCUUUGAAGCAAAUUGAGUUGUUGUAAAUUAUGUUUCAUAUGUAACGUAAAGACAAAUUACCAGCUUCAAUAGAAUUCCUUGCAGUAAGUCUAAAAUCAUUGACAAUUUGCGGAAUUUCAUCCGUCCUUAAUCGUCUUGGAGGCGUGAAUUCAGAAGCAUCGAUGCCAUUUAAUCGUAUCGGCUUGUCAGUAGAAGAUAUGGGAGCUUGCCCAUUUGGUUGAUAACCUGUAAGCAAGGAGAGAGAAUUACAACCUGAAGUCUAACGACAGUAACUAACAUCCACAGCAGCACUCUUUUAAGUGGGAAUCCUUUGUUACAAAUUACUAUAACCACACGUGCUAUAUACUAGUUCUGAAUUCUGAGUUAUGUUAACAUCAAGCUUCUUCCCAUCCAAUAAUAAUAAUAACAAUGCUUCCGAAGCAGCAAAGUCAUAACAAGUCCAACUCGGAACUUAACAAGUCCAAGUUUUAUCGUCAUUUUGAGCAACAAUGUUGUCAAUUAUAAUCACUAGCUCGUUCUGAUGCAUACACCAUUAUGUUAUACAUCAAACUUCUUAAUCGGUCUAAUUAUUCACUCAUGUUAACAAAGCAUACUAUGGUAAAAGUGUUGUGCCUUGGCCCGUUUAUCAGUGCGGAAACGAGAUUCAGAUUACAACCUCACCAUAAUCACACUCAGUUGAACAGAAUAAAAUACAAGAAAUAAAGACACCGAGAAAUUUACGAGGUUCGGCAAAAAUCCUGCCUACGUCCCCGGAGAGAUAUUGCUCUUCACUAUGAGAAUAACAGUACAAGUACACAUGAGUUAAAUCAACAUAACCCAAUCCCGAAUCCCUUGCACACCCACUCAUAGAAUUUUCCCAAGAGCCUCACUCUAUCCCAAGAGUUCUUUCACCAGAGACCUUUCACUCUAGCUCUCUUGAUUUCUCUCUCACCCGUGUUCAACCCUUCCCAUGGGAGAGCUGAAUGCUCUCCCCUUUUGGAUGCUCACUCCAUCCUCACAAUCGGCAAGCUCUCUUCAUUUUGUGUGUGAAAAAUGCCUUCACUUAUAGACAUGCACCAUCAAUUAUGUCAACCACAAAACAUGCUUCCACAAAACAUGCUUCCUCAAAACAUGCUUCCACAAAACAUGCUUCCACAAAACAUGCUUCCAAAGUCCACAAAGUUGAGAGGAAAUGGUUGCCAACUCAUAAUUAUAUGAGCCAAACACAACAAUCUCCACCUUGGCGAAUAUACUGUGCAAAAAUCCUUGCACCCAUCACCAAUGUCCAUUGGCCUUACGUACCAGCAUACACAUUCUGAAUCAACCUUGUUGGUCCUGUUCCUGAUUCAGUCACUGCCAAUGCAUGUGCAGCUGCUGCAAGCUAAAAAUCACCAUUUAGCUUCAGACAGGAUCUCGACACAUCCUCGUCUCCUCCAGCAGGUUUUCCUUCUCUUCAUUGUCUGCAACUAGGAAACUCGUCAGCGCGCCCGUUUCCAGUAACAACCCAUCGAGCCAGACAAAAUUCCCACACUUCCUCCUACCUCAUGAUCAUCUCAUCACCUGUGAAUCCCAUAGCUCCACCUGCUGCAAAACCCCUGCAACACUUGAGACUAAACAUCACCAGGAGAAGUGUUGCUUCGAGUACCUAGAGGACAUACUCAAAGUCUUCCGCCACAAACUUGCUACAACCCGGCCUUGCACCGUAGCACUGUGGACCCUUGCCUCCGGAACCGGAUCUGAACCUGCUGUCUCUCUCUGAUCCUCUUUCCAAUUUUCUUCCACGAUUCCAACCUUGAAUAACUUAAGCAGUCUUGUGCCCACCAUCAUCCAUGGUCUCCUUUGUGUAUCAUUCCACACCAAAGAAGCUUGCACCUGCUCCAAACUUACUGUAUCUUUCCAUGCAGUAAAGUUUCACAAGGUUCUAAGACAAAUCUGAAAGUGAGGUAAGAAGAAAGAGGCCUUUGUUUUCUUCCUCAACAUCAACUUUCGCAGUUGAUCCAAGCAUCCCUGAACACGGCUUCCAUUACUCUCCUUUGCCAAGAGUAAAACCGCCUCUUCCUUUAAACUGCUCAACUGAAAAUUCCAUGGUGAACAACAAAUCUGGACCUCCAACGAACCAAAGACUCCAACGAUGCUCUGAUACCAAUUGUUAUGCCUUGGCCCGUUUAUCAGUGCGGAAACGAGAUUCAAAUUACAACCUCACCAUAAUCACACUCAGUUGAACAGAAUAAAAUACAAGAAAUAAAGACACCGAGAAAUUUACGAGGUUCGGCAAAAAUCCUGCCUACGUCCCCGGAGAGAUAUUGCUCUUCACUAUGAGAAUAACAGUACAAGUACACAUGAGUUAAAUCAACAUAACCCAAUCCCGAAUCCCUUGCACACCCACUCAUAGAAUUUUCCCAAGAGCCUCACUCUACCCCAAGAGUUCUUUCACUAGAGACCUUUCACUCUAGCUCUCUUGAUUUCUCUCUCACCCGUGUUCAACCCUUCCCAUGGGAGAGCCGAAUGCUCUCCCCUUUUGGAUGCUCACUCCAUCCUCACAAUCGGCAAGCUCUCUUCAUUUUGUGUGUGAAAAAUGCCUUCACUUAUAGACAUGCACCAUCAAUUAUGUCAACCACAAAACAUGCUUCCACAAAACAUGCUUCCUCAAAACAUGCUUCCACAAAACAUGCUUCCACAAAACAUGCUUCCUCAAAACAUGCUUCCACAAAACAUGCUUCCACAAAACAUGCUUCCAAAGUCCACAAAGUUGAGAGGAAAUGGUUGCCAACUCAUAAUUAUAUGAGCCAAACACAACAAAAAGGGAGGUCAUAAAGGUGUAAGUCAGAAACGCACCGCUAUUAGAAACCCUUCCAGCAUGCCAAAUCUGACAGAAGAAGACGCCACCUUUAGCAUGAACAGCAUUAACAAUGGGUUUCCAGGCUUCAACUUGCUCCUUUGUCCAUAUACCAGGUGUGUUUGGGUACCUUCGUAUAUUAAAGAACCAAAAAUUUCAUCAAACUUUGAAACGAAAGAAGCACCCUCAAAUGCUUGUUAGUCUAUGAAUCUACUGUUGUUGAAAUUACCCUUGAGCUGUGUUGGAAACUCCAGCGGCUUCAGCUAUGAGAAGACCCCCGUUCGAAGUUCUCUGAGAGUAAUAUAAGAUAGCAUGUGGUUGAGGAACAUUGUUGUAUGAUCUCUGUCUGGUCAAUGGUGCUAAAACAAUUCUGGAAAGGAAAAAGCAAUUGUAAAUUAUAAAUACAGAGUGAUCAAGACGGAAUGUGGCUGAGGAACAUUAUCGAAUGAUCUGUUUCUAGUCAUCAACGGUGAAAAUACAAUUCUAAAGAGGAAAAACAUAUAACAAACCAUAAAUACAACCUUCAGACUUUGUAGGAAGCAUUAGUUUGCUAAGGCUCUUUGAUAACAAAUUCGCUUUUAGUUUUCUUGUUUUAGUUAAAAAGGAGAAACGAGGGAGGAAGAAGGAAUUUGGGACGAAAAUGUAUGAAAUAAAAACUCGAAUUGUAGAUUAUCUGAAUUUGCUAAGGCUCCUUCAUAACAAAUUCGCUUUUAGUUUUCUUGUUUUACUUAAAAAGGAGAAACGAGGGAGGAAUAAGGAAUUUGGGACGAAAAUGUGUGAAAUAAAAACUCUAAUUGUAGACAAUCUGAAUUUGCUUUAUGUUCUUCAUUUUCGGUAUCAUUCCAUGAACAUUUGGUCCCUCAUCCAUCCCUUCCCCUUCCCCUUCCUCCUCCUCCUCCUCUUCUAUCAUGCAUUUUCUCUUUUACUUAAAAUUAAAAACUAAAAAUCAAAUACGAAAUCGUUACCAAACACAACCUAAACAAAGCAAUGUCUUACGAAGUGACCAUGGCCGAAAGGGCACAUACUUUUAACAAUCUAUUGCAUCUAUUUUCAACAAUUAAUCAAUGAAAUAACUCAAGUGUACUGUUGUUUUGAUUUAAUUUGUAACAUCUGUACUAUUUUAUAGACAAAGAUACAGUUACUCUUUUUUUUUUUUUAGGUAAACUAGAAUUACACCAGGGCAAAGCCAGAGUACAACAGGAAAGCCCACACAGAGGACUAACAUAGCUAAAACCAUUGAGACGACAAACAACAAAAUGAUCCAGGGCCAAGGACCA